rnacentral:rRNA from 1 species
GAUGAACGCUGGCGGCGUGCUUAACACAUGCAAGUCGAACGAUGAAGCUCCAGCUUGCUGGAGUGGAUUAGUGGCGAACGGGUGAGUAACACGUGAGUAACCUGCCCUUGACUCUGGGAUAAGCCUUGGAAACGAGGUCUAAUACCGGAUAGGAGCACUCAUCGCAUGGUGGGUGUUGGAAAGAAUUUCGGUCAUGGAUGGACUCGCGGCCUAUCAGCUUGUUGGUGAGGUAAUGGCUCACCAAGGCGACGACGGGUAGCCGGCCUGAGAGGGUGACCGGCCACACUGGGACUGAGACACGGCCCAGACUCCUACGGGAGGCAGCAGUGGGGAAUAUUGCACAAUGGGCGCAAGCCUGAUGCAGCGACGCCGCGUGAGGGAUGACGGCCUUCGGGUUGUAAACCUCUUUCAGUAGGGAAGAAGCGAAAGUGACGGUACCUGCAGAAGAAGCACCGGCUAACUACG